UUGUCAUUUGAUUAGUGUU
rnacentral:miRNA from 1 species